UAGCGGCAGGCCUUACACAUGCAAGUCGAGGGGUAUACUUCUUCGGGAGUAGAGACCGGCGCACGGGUGCGUAACGCGUAUGCAAUCUACCUUUCACAAAGGGAUAGCCCAGAGAAAUUUGGAUUAAUACCUUAUAGUAUAUAUGAAUGGCAUCAUUUAUAUAUUAAAGAUUUAUCGGUGAAAGAUGAGCAUGCGUCCCAUUAGCUAGAUGGUAAGGUAACGGCUUACCAUGGCAACGAUGGGUAGGGGUCCUGAGAGGGAGAUCCCCCACACUGGUACUGAGACACGGACCAGACUCCUACGGGAGGCAGCAGUGAGGAAUAUUGGACAAUGGGCGCAAGCCUGAUCCAGCCAUGCCGCGUGCAGGAUGACGGUCCUAUGGAUUGUAAACUGCUUUUGUACAGGAAGAAACAGUUCUACGUGUAGAACCUUGACGGUACUGUAAGAAUAAGGAUCGGCUAACUCCGUGCCAGCAGCCGCGGUAAUACGGAGGAUCCAAGCGUUAUCCGGAAUCAUUGGGUUUAAAGGGUCCGUAGGCGGUCAGAUAAGUCAGUGGUGAAAGCCCAUCGCUCAACGGUGGAACGGCCAUUGAUACUGUCUGACUUGAAUUAUUAGGAAGUAACUAGAAUAUGUAGUGUAGCGGUGAAAUGCUUAGAGAUUACAUGGAAUACCAAUUGCGAAGGCAGGUUACUACUAAUAUAUUGACGCUGAUGGACGAAAGCGUGGGUAGCGAACAGGAUUAGAUACCCUGGUAGUCCACGCCGUAAACGAUGGAUACUAGCUGUUGGGAGCAAUCUCAGUGGGUAAGCGAAAGUGAUAAGUAUCCCACCUGGGGAGUACGUUCGCAAGAAUG
rnacentral:rRNA from 1 species